CGGGUAACGCAGUGGGAGGUGAAACCGACGAGGGUGCAGGCAGCACCAGGCGGCGAACCAGGCCCGCUGGGUGGUGGCUGGAGGCUGCAGGUGGGGACAAAAGCGCGGCAGACGAGACAAAAGGGAGCGCACUCACCAGAACCACUCGCUACCGAAGCUGGGCACGGAAAACACUCCCCAGUGGAUGAAGAUGCCGAACUUGGCCUGGUCAAACCACGCGGGCAGCUGGCGGGCGUCCAGGGACUCCCAGGUGGGGUCGAAGCGCGUGGCGCUGUGGGCAGGGCACGGCGGCGGUGGCAGCAGCAGCAGCAGCAGCAACAGCAGCAGCGGGAACGCGAGCCUGGGGAGCUCCUGGGGCCGCAUGUCCCGGCGCAGGCCGGCUGUCCUCUCUGCGGGCUCCCGCGGCCUCCGGAGCGCUGUUCUUCCGUUUCUGCCGCUGAGUAUGCCGCGCCGCGGUCACCUGACCAAGCCGGACUUGGAAACCGGCCACCCUUCCCCCUCUGGGGCGGGAGUGGCCACUCUCCCGGGCGUUCCGAAUGACCUCAGGAGGGCUGCAUCGCUCAGCAUAACUAAGGAGGCCAGCAUUACCCCAAAGCCAGCUGCGACGGCUUUGCUAAGGCUCUGUCCUCUAGAGGGGAAAAUAUGAGUCUGAGUCAGGGCCCUGUGGCCAGCGCCUCUGCCCUCAAGCAGACACGACCCUGACCAAGAAACUGCCCAAGAGGACAACGCCACCAGCCCACCCUGGUGGCUGCUCCACACGUCCGAAGCGUGGACGAGAAGGUCAAGGCAGGAACUUCAGCCGGGUCUCGCCAUGAUGGAACAUGGAAAGCAACCUAGAUCCUUCUCGGCCUCUGUAUCAGCUCCCAAGAUCCUGCAUGUUAGAACCGUGGUUGUCAACCUUGAAUUUGUAUCAGAUGAAAUUCCAAGAGCUUCAGAUUCAGCAGUUAGAGACAGGGUUUCACCAUGUUGGACAAGCUGGUCUCAAACUCUUGACCUCAGGUGAUCUGCCCGCCUUGGCCUCCCAAAGUGCUAGAAUUACAGGCAUGAGCCACCAAGCCCAGCCUCUCCUCCACCUCUUAAAGAGUGGUAAUCAGAUCUGUAUGGAUGCCACUUGGGUCAUUUGUCAUUUCACUUGAAGGCAAAGAAAUGUUUUUAACUGGGAUAUGAUUAGCUGCCGAGGUGGAGCUGAUAUCUGAGCGAGGCUCUCGAGGACACAUUCUGGAUAGAUCUCCAUAUGGGAGUUGGAUGACUGCCACCAGCCAGUCUUGGCAGUCCCCAGAAUUCUUCUGAAGUGGACAGUGGAAGAAGUGAAACAUUUGCCUGGCAGCUGGCAUCAAUGCAGUCUCUCUCUGGACAUGCAGAAGAAAAGGUUCAAAAGGAACUGAACCCAAUCCAGUCUUUAUUUGAUUUUAGAUGGAAUUAAAACAUUUUUGUGGGUCUCGACAAGUAUUGCCAGCACUGCACCUGCCACCCUGAUAGAGAUGGGGACUUGCUAUACUGCCCAGGCUGGACGUGAACUCUUUGCCUCAAAGGAUCCUCCCAUCUCAGCCUCUCAAAAUACUGGGACUGCAGGUGUGAGCCACCAUGCCCGGCCUGUAUUUGGACAGUUGUUGCAGCACCGUGCUUAGCCUAUAUUUGGACAGUUUUUGCAGCAAAGAUGGAAUAAUCAUAUCUUCCCUACAGAGUUCCUGUGAGAAUUAUAAGUGAAAGCCCUUUUAAAUGAUCAAGGGUGAGCUGUGUGUGUGUGUGUGUGUGUGUGUGUGUGUGUGUGUGUGUGUAUCAUGACCUAGUUGCUACUAAGGCCUUUGUGCAUAUCGGUGUGCUUCUGCAGCAUGUACUCCUGGUUUUUGUUCCUCUUUUCUCUUACCUUCUUGAUUAGGUUUGUUCUCUUAUUAAAUGAUAUAAUACGUGCAAAAUGCCUGACAUAGCACCUAGAAUCGGGGUGUGUGUGUUAACAGGAGUAAUUGCCAGCGCUGUCCCUUCUUUCCCCCCGUAUCUCCAUCUCUUCUCACUGGCUAUGUAUGGUCUGUGGGUGAACCAACGGACAUUCCUCCUUUGCCAUGAACUUUCAGAGGACUGAUGACUCCUGAGCCUGACUUACAGUCUUUUAAUUCUGGGCGAGUCA